CACGUAGGGGGCGAGCGUUAUCCGGAAUUAUUGGGCGUAAAGAGCUCGUAGGCGGUUUGUCGCGUCUGCUGUGAAAACCCGAGGCUCAACCUCGGGCCUGCAGUGGGUACGGGCAGACUAGAGUGCGGUAGGGGAGAUUGGAAUUCCUGGUGUAGCGGUGGAAUGCGCAGAUAUCAGGAGGAACACCGAUGGCGAAGGCAGAUCUCUGGGCCGUAACUGACGCUGAGGAGCGAAAGCGUGGGGAGCGAACAGG
rnacentral:rRNA from 1 species